UUUUGGUAUUUUUUACGAAAAUUUUGAAUUUAUUCACUUUUUUAUGAAGUUGUAACUUUUAAUAUUUGUUUACAUGUGUAUUGAAUUUUUAUAUUUUUACAAGACACUCAAGGCUUCAAAUGACAGUAAAUCAACAAAUGUUGUGCCCCAUGUAAGUCAAGAUUUUGUGUAUCAUUUUUAAACUCAGUACUUGUGUAAUAAAUAUCAUUAAUAAGCCUCCCAUAUUUUAUAUAAUUAUACAUUUAUAUGAUUAUGAUCAAACUGUAUCAAUCAAUGUUAACUUGUUUUAUGAUUACAUGUAUUAUAACUGUUAUCAUUUACAAUUUUAAAUGACUUUUCAUUAUUUGUAUCCAUUAAAUUUUUUUCAUGUUUCUUGUUAUUUUUAUUUUUUUAAAGGCAAUCAACAAUCCAGAUGGAAUAUAUCCCAAAUCCGAUGAUCAUGAGGUAAGUCAGGUUUUAGACAAGUUUUAUGUUUUUUUGUCGUACAUCCUAACGUGUGAUUAUAAUAUACAAAUUUGCCUUAAAUUCCAGUCUCAAUAAAUGUUCGUUAUCAUAUCAACAAUUUCAUUUUAUAAGGUUUUUUAUAUCAACACCCCUGUUCGAAAUCUAAUUGACGUGGAUUAUGAAUUAAGUGCUCCAAGACCUACAAUUCCUAGAGUAUGUUAUUUAAUUUUAUAAGUACAUUUGUUAUACCAUUAUUUGAGUCAUUACUUUAAAGGUGUUGUUAUUUUUACGAAAUUAAUAGGUAAAUCAACCAAGUUUUGUAUUUGAUAUACCCCCACAAAAAGUGCUUGGAGUAUCUGAAAAUUCACAUGAGGAUGAUGUUGAACAAAUGCCAUGUCUAGUCCCUAUCCGGAUUUUGGAUCACAUGAAAGUGACAAUCGAUUCACAGUUUGAAUUGGACGAUCAAUUCAUGCCUAGUCUCAAUUCUAUAAAGAGUAGCAUCGCACCAUAUUCAACUGUGAUAAAAGGACACACCGAACAGCUGCCAACAACAAUUGCAGGAUGCAUUACAACAAAGGCAGAUCAGGCCACUAUCGAUGUCCAAUUGGGUACGAACGGUGAAAAUUUGAUGAUAGAUCAACCUACAGCAAUAACGAACAGACGCCAUUACCUACGCGUAGGAAUAGACGUCCAGGUCCUUAUAAUACAUCUCCGUAUCUGACCAAUUUUGGAUCAUCUGCUGGUAGUUCAUCAAGUCAGCCCCACAUUUUUGAAUUGAAACACCCUUUUAUAUUUGAUUUGAUAUCUGGCGAUUAUGAUAUAAUGUUGUGGGAUGCGUUUCGUUCGUGGAUUCGAGAUGGCUUACUUACAAAGCAUGACAGAAAGUAAGUCAUUGGUGAAUAAUUACAAGAUAUUUUUACAACAUAACUGUUUAAAUUUUUGUAUCCGGUUAAAUGUUUGUUUGUAUUUCAACAACAGUUAUUUGGUAGGUGCAGCUUAUAUAUAGGUUUUCUUGUUUUUUUUUGUAUUUAAACGUUGAUAGUAAUUACUUUAUUUUUUUAAUGAAUGGUAUACUAUUUCUAUUUUUAUUCUGUUUUUAGGAAGCAUGAUCAAGACCAUUACAAGAAGAAUCUAGCUGAAAUUUCUGUGGCUAUUAAGCUUGGCGUUCUCAUAGUAGACAAUAAGAAUUGGUUCUAUAAUCUGUAUUUCAAAGGACAGUUAUUGAACAAUUCGCAUGUUGAUGUGAUUUUAUAUUAUCUACGGAAAAAUGCCAAAUAUGAUGUUGGAGGCAGCUAUAAAUACACAAUUGUAGAUUGUGUAUUUAGUCCAAAGAUCUCUGCUAUUUGGGAAAAAUAUUUGGAUUUAGAUAGCGAUUUUGGUUGUGCCGAUGAAGAGCAUGUCAUUGGUGAAUACAUUAGAGGGUACAAAAUGCAUGCUGCUACACCUUGGCAUAAGAUUGAUUAUGUUUUUGUUCCUGUCCACGUUAAGGAGAAAUUUCAUUGGGUGUUGGCUGUGAUAUCAUUGAAUGAUAAGUGUAUUGGGCAGCAGGUCACGAUGCAGCUAUCAAGGCAGAGAUAGUUAAACUGUCUCAGUUGAUCCCUUUGAAGUUAUCAGACAAUGACUAUUACAACAAUAAAGGAAUUGAUGUAUCGCAAGCUCAACAAGAGAACGAGUUCUUUAAUGUAGUAUUCAUAGAUAAUGUUCCUCAACAGUCGCAUGGGUCUCUGGAUUGUGGUAUUUAUAUGCUAGCUUUUGCUGAAUACCUAUCAUACGGCCAAGGUAUUCCAGCGAAUAUUUUGGAUGCAUCGUGUUUACGGUCAAGAUACGCUACACUUCUUUGGAAUUAUGGCCAACAAAAGAAUGAUGCCGGAGCAAUAUGUGACAAUGAAGCACCUCCACGAUAUAGAAGAUUCAAUGUAGCAAUGGAGGAGAUUGAUACAAUUCAAAUAGAUUAGUUGUUGUCCAUUUUUUGAUGUGUAAUUAGACAUUAGUUUUUGUAUUCUAUGAAAUGAUUUUAAAGGGUUAAAUUCUUUUGUGUUUAUUGAUGUAUAAAAUCUUGAAGUUAUGGUUUCAAAGGUUUUGGGUUAAUAUUAAAGUGUUCAAGCUUAAGUAUUG